rnacentral:rRNA from 1 species
CCUACGGGAGGCAGCAGUGGGGAAUAUUGGGCAAUGGGCGCAAGCCUGACCCAGCAACGCCGCGUGAAGGAAGAAGGCUUUCGGGUUGUAAACUUCUUUUCUCAGGGACGAAGAAAGUGACGGUACCUGAGGAAUAAGCCACGGCUAACUACGUGCCAGCAGCCGCGGUAAUACGUAGGUGGCAAGCGUUAUCCGGAUUUAUUGGGUGUAAAGGGCGUGUAGGCGGGAGCGCAAGUCAGAUGUGAAAACUCAGGGCUCAACCCUGAGCCUGCAUUUGAAACUGUGGUUCUUGAGUGCUGGGGAGGCAAUCGGAAUGCCGGGUGUAGCGGUGAAAUGCGUAGAUAUACGGAGGAACACCAGUGGCGAAGGCGGAUUGCUGGACAGUAACUGACGCUGAGGCGCGAAAGCGUGGGGAGCAAACAGGAUUAGAUACCCGAGUAGUC